CAAGGGUAUGGCUGUUCGCCAUUUAAAGUGGUACGCGAGCUGGGUUUAGAACGUCGUGAGACAGUUCGGUCCCUAUCUGCCGUGGGCGCUGGAGAACUGAGGGGGGCUGCUCCUAGUACGAGAGGACCGGAGUGGACGCAUCACUGGUGUUCGGGUUGUCAUGCCAAUGGCACUGCCCGGUAGCUAAAUGCGGAAGAGAUAAGUGCUGAAAGCAUCUAAGCACGAAACUUGCCCCGAGAUGAGUUCUCCCUGAGACUUUAAGUCUCCUGAAGGAACGUUGAAGACGACGACGUUGAUAGGCCGGGUGUGUAAGCGCAGCGAUGCGUUGAGCUAACCGGUACUAAUGAACCGUGAGGCUUAACCUUACAACGCCGAAG
rnacentral:rRNA from 1 species